ACACAGAAAGAGCUGAAACGACAGUCGUUUCUUUUGUAGCUAGAACUUUAAGAAGACAUACAACCAAAAAUUCGUAUUUGGAACAGUCAAAAUGAAGCUGGGGAAGCCACACCAAAGAUACAACCCACACAGAUCUUGAACUGCUCCGUAAUAGCUGCGUGACAGUACCUAGAAGAGCGUCUGGACUCCUUUGAGGUGCAGCUGACUUCACUUAACUGGGAAAAACAUCGUAAUGAGAGGAGCCAAAGCUUAAAAAAAAGCAAAACAAGACUGGAUAGUUGUCAAAAGGCAGCUUGUACAGGAUUGUGAGGACGAUGUACAGCCUGGCAGGCUACUGGUGGAAUUCCCAAAUGUUUUAAAAACUGGAGCAGGGAAAUACAAGGAGCACAUGCUAUUUUUCAGGGCGAACCCACAUUAGAAACAAAAGAACUGCACUUACAUAACACUGACUUUUAGUUGAUAACGGAAUGGAUGCCAAACAGGAAACCCUUGCCAUCCUUAAUAAGAUCUGGACAAAGCUGCAGAAUCUCCCUGAAGCAAACCCAGUCGAUGUAGGAGGCUUUCUCAUUCUUCUCCUGUUUAUUUUGACAUUCCUGUUUCUGGUGGUGUUUGCCUGUGCACACUGCUGCUGCAGCUGUGGACAAAGUCCAAAAAACAGGAAUUCUGUUCUCUAAUCAGCAAUCAUCGCACCAUCAACCAACUACGCUGCACUGCCUUAAAGCGUGGAGAGCUUCCAAAGAUGUGGAAAGUCAAGGAAUGUGUGUCGAGGCAGAGAACUAAUGGAUAUUUAUAGAACUACUGUUAUAGAAAAACUAUGAGUGGUUUCAGUAUAAAAAUAACAGUGACAUUUAUGUUAAAGCUGAGGGAUCUCAGAGAGAUUUUUAAGUGAUGCUUAAAAAUAGUUAAGCAACACUUAAAUGGAAAAAUACAAAGUCCUGUCAAACACCCAGAACAUCUGUAUCAGUAAAAUGAAUCUAGGUGAAAGAACUACGGAACUGUAAGUAAUCAUCUCUGGAUAGCUGUACCAAGCUAGCUUGUACAACAUGCUCUCAAAUUGAUGAAGGAAGGUAUGAGUAAAGUCACUUUAAGAGUUGUAGUCUUGUAAAAAUGGACAAGUAAAAAAAAAAAAGACAUUUGCACACAAGCAUUGAGACAAACAAACAGAUUUAAAAAAAAAUUUGAAUUUGUUGUCAAUAAUGUAAUGCAGCUCGUCACGUUUGAAGAAGUAUCCAUUAUCUCAAGAAGACUAUAAAAGUAUGAAGGUGGGAUUGAUGCUGAUUAUCUGUAAAUGGUACUGAGGAGGAAUUCAAUUCAUUAUCCCAACUAUUAUGUUUCAAAAGGAAAAAAAAAUCUCAAAUUUGUAACUCAAAAAAGAGAGAAACAAUUAAACAGUUUGCUUAGAGAUAUAGGGAAAUAAUUAAUCACAAUGCUGCAAUUUACUACUAAAGUUAGUCAUACUAUCAAUUUGUUUAUUAGUUUAUACUAAUAAAUACAUUUUUGGAAAGGAAGGUAUAAAAAAAUCCCAAGUGGAUAAAAUGCACAGGAAACAUUAAAUAACGCAAACAACAGUAAUUAUAUAAAUUCAUUCUCAAAUUCAUAUUCUAUUAUUUUUCUCUCAUUCUGUAUUUCUUGUAUUUUACAGUGGCUACAUGUAUUUAAACUAUUUAAACAAAACGAUUAUAUGAUCAACCACAUUACUUCUUUAGAGUGGGUAGGUAGCUGGGCUCAAAGAACCAACAGGCCAUUCUGGCAGUGUAUAGAUUUUAUCCAGGAACUUUUCACACAACAGACCAGAAAUCUAACCAUCACUGGCCACUUAAAAGCAAGUACAUACAGGUGAGUAAAGAAUUUCAUGUCAAGAGCGCUGCUCAGGAAAAAGCUGGUAGCCUUGAUGGAGUAAACUACGUACAUACAUGUUCAUUUAAUUUUGAAUAAACUACAAUGAAAAGCAAGCCACAAAUUGUGUAGACUGGACACGUAUAAUUUAUGUAAGUCUUUGUUGAUGUAUCUUUGCACUUAAGUUGCCCUUUUCUGAAAUGGUAACUUACCGUUACUUACUAAAUUGUUAAGAUGCAUGCUGAAAUAAAUAAUAUGCUUAAUGGAACUGCAUAUAAGACACAGCAACCUUAUGACUAAUAAAAUAUAUUUAAUUACA